rnacentral:rRNA from 1 species
AGAGUUUGAUCCUGGCUCAGGAUGAACGCUGGCGGCGUGCCUAAUACAUGUAAGUCGAGCGAACUGAUUAGAAGCUUGCUUCUAUGACGUUAGCGGCGGACGGGUGAGUAACACGUGGGCAACCUGCCUGUAAGACUGGGAUAACUUCGGGAAACCGAAGCUAAUACCGGAUAGGAUCUUCUCCUUCAUGGGAGAUGAUUGAAAGAUGGUUUCGGCUAUCACUUACAGAUGGGCCCGCGGUGCAUUAGCUAGUUGGUGAGGUAACGGCUCACCAAGGCAACGAUGCAUAGCCGACCUGAGAGGGUGAUCGGCCACACUGGGACUGAGACACGGCCCAGACUCCUACGGGAGGCAGCAGUAGGGAAUCUUCCGCAAUGGACGAAAGUCUGACGGAGCAACGCCGCGUGAGUGAUGAAGGCUUUCGGGUCGUAAAACUCUGUUGUUAGGGAAGAACAAGUACGAGAGUAACUGCUCGUACCUUGACGGUACCUAACCAGAAAGCCACGGCUAACUACGUGCCAGCAGCCGCGGUAAUACGUAGGUGGCAAGCGUUAUCCGGAAUUAUUGGGCGUAAAGCGCGCGCAGGCGGUUUCUUAAGUCUGAUGUGAAAGCCCACGGCUCAACCCGUGGAGG